UACGAAGGGUGCAAGCGUUACUCGGAAUUACUGGGCGUAAAGCGUGCGUAGGUGGUUCGUUAAGUCUGAUGUGAAAGCCCCGGGCUCAACCUGGGAAUUGGAUUGGAUACUGGCGGGCUAGAGUACGGUAGAGGGUGGCGGAAUUCCUGGUGUAGCAGUGAAAUGCGUAGAGAUCAGGAGGAACAUCCGUGGCGAAGGCGGCCACCUGGACCAGUACUGACACUGAGGCACGAAAGCGUGGGGAGCAAACAGGAUUAUAUACCCUGGUAGU
rnacentral:rRNA from 1 species